rnacentral:rRNA from 1 species
UACGCAGGGGGCUAGCGUUGUUCGGAAUUACUGGGCGUAAAGCGCACGUAGGCGGAUUUUUAAGUCAGGGGUGAAAUCCCGAGGCUCAACCUCGGAACUGCCUUUGAUACUGGAGAUCUUGAGUUCGGAAGAGGUUGGUGGAACAGCUAGUGUAGAGGUGAAAUUCGUAGAUAUUAGCUAGAACACCAGUGGCGAAGGCGGCCAACUGGUCCGAUACUGACGCUGAGGUGCGAAAGCGUGGGGAGCAAACAGG